UCGACCGGGGUGCACACGUUCUUUUGUUUCUUUUACUUUUUAUUAUUUAAAACUACAUUGAUAUAAUAACCAGUGAUAGCCGCUACGAUUUUAUAGUUUCUUUUUUUACUUUUUUGUGUUGUUCUUUGACUUACAACUAUAUAGUGUUCUGAAACGGAGUCCUCAAAGAAGACGUUGGCAUGAAGCCCAAAACAACUAUUGGUCACUGCACAGGACUAGUAAACGUAUUAUACUCUUGUGCGUGUUCCAAUAGUUUUUGUGGGCGCUUCAAAAUCUUCGUGCCGUGAAGACUAACAGCAUACCAGAAACAUUUUCAGAAUAAUCAUUAUUGGCUUUUGUUUUAAUUUAAAAUUAUUCAAAAUUUGUUAAAAUUAUUCCAUAUCCCCUGGUUAUCUCCAUAGAACAUGAGACACAUGGUUGCGUGCAGACAGGCCUUCGCUGGAAUGAACUUCUCGUCGAAGGCGAGCGCGUAACGGUACAUCCAUACAGCUUGUUCGUACUCGGCCUGUUCAAAAUAUAUUUUAUUAAAAAAAUGGUGCCACCGAGAAGUUUACGCAAUGGUGAACUCGGCAAAAUUACCCUCGCCGACCGCGAAUCAUCGACAGGAACAAGGCCCCUUUUAAAUAAUGCCAGUCCAGGAGUUAUAUAAUGCCGGGCGGCCACUCACACGUGCAGCAGCGCGACGAGCGCGCGCAGGGCGGCGUGCGCGCGCGCGCG